AACGAACGCUGGCGGCAGGCUUAACACAUGCAAGUCGAACGCAUCCUUCGGGGUGAGUGGCAGACGGGUGAGUAACACGUGGGAACGUACCUUUCGGUUCGGGAUAACCCAGGGAAACUUGGGCUAAUACCGGAUACGUCCUUUGGGAGAAAGAUUCAUUGCCGAGAGAUCGGCCCGCGUCUGAUUAGCUAGUUGGUGGGUAACGCUCACCAAGGCGACGAUCAGUAGCUGGUCUGAGAGGAUGAUCAGCCACACUGGACUGAGACACGGCCCAGACUCCUACGGGAGGCAGCAGUGGGGAAUAUUGGACAAUGGGCGCAAGCCUGAUCCAGCCAUGCCGCGUGAGUGAUGAAGGCCCU
rnacentral:rRNA from 1 species